GACGAACGCUGGCGGCGUGCUUAACACAUGCAAGUCGAACGGAAAGGCCCUGCUUUUGUGGGGUGCUCGAGUAGCGAACGGGUGAGUAACACGUGAGUAACCUGCCCUUGACUUUGGGAUAACUUCAGGAAACUGGGGCUAAUACCGGAUAGGAGCUCCUGCUGCAUGGUGGGGGUUGGAAAGUUUCGGCGGUUGGGGAUGGACUCGCGGCUUAUCAGCUUGUUGGUGGGGUAGUGGCUUACCAAGGCUUUGACGGGUAGCCGGCCUGAGAGGGUGACCGGCCACAUUGGGACUGAGAUACGGCCCAGACUCCUACGGGAGGCAGCAGUGGGGAAUAUUGCACAAUGGGCGGAAGCCUGAUGCAGCAACGCCGCGUGCGGGAUGACGGCCUUCGGGUUGUAAACCGCUUUCGCCUGUGACGAAGCGUGAGUGACGGUAAUGGGUAAAGAAGCACCGACUAACUACGUG
rnacentral:rRNA from 1 species